ensembl:lncRNA
CUGGAUUUAGUUCAGUGGACAAGAAGAAAAGGGAAGGAAGCCAACCCGGUGGAAAUUUUGGCCUGGAAUCUCUGCUUUUACGUGAGAAAAAUGAGGAGAGCCACAGCCCCCACAUAGACAUUCUGUGCAACCACCCUUGGGCAGGAAUGAGCACACAGGGAGCAGUCCCUGACGUGGCCGUGUCCUCGGAAGCCAGGGAACGGUUUUCAUCUUCGGACAUCGAAUGGCUUCAGCCAUGUGCUGGAUGCCAGGCCCAGAGGGUGCAGGUGACCCAGGGUCAGGGGCAGAGCGCGCAGCUUUGAGAGACUUGAAUGUGGCCCUGUGGUUGGGGUGCCCGCAGUCCUUUCCAAAGGGAGCCUCUGUCACUGUCUCAAGGUAAAGACGCUUUGCUGAUAGCUGCCGACCCCAG